UUAAAAUCCUAAACUUUCUAACAUAUAUUACAUUAUAAUAUUUUAUAUUCAAUCCUAAUUAAAUAAAAAGGAUUUCAGCAUAGAGAUCUUACUUUCGCCCAAUUGGUUACCGAUGAGGACCUAAAUGUCUGAACACAUCAAACUCACCUUCGACGUCAGCACAUAUGAUUAGUCACAACUGACUGGACCAGGCCAGGGCUGCUCUAUGAUCAGGGGUGUGCCAACUCAGGUUUUUAAGGUUCCUCUAUCCUACCAAUAAAGAAAGGCUCUCAACAAGUUUUAAUUAAUUUAUUUAAAUUACCUAAACUAGUUUGUUGUGCUCUAAACCUUAAACGCCCAAUUUUUAUAUUUUACUCCCCUCUCACAAUACUCUUAAAUCGUACCCCUGCAUUAUAUUUUACCCCCUUCUCACAGUACUUUGAAACAAUACCCAUGCAUCCAAGUACUACCCAAAUUAUGCUAAUUAAAGUCUCACCCAAAGCCUUUCCAAAACAUCAUCAAUCAUAGUCAAUAACUCAUUCAAAAACAUAUUAGAUUCAUCAAACAAUGCACAGGAAAGAAAUCACAUGCUCCUCCUUUUCGCAAUCAAGCUCAUACCAAGAUCAAUUACAUAAGACAGCAACAAACAGUCCCAACAGAACAUCAUAUUAUAAAUUUAGCCACACAUGAAAAGCUGAAAUAGAUUCAUACUCAACAUAUAUAUGAAAUAAUGAGAAUUGUAAUUCAAACAGUACAUCAACUUCAAAUCUAACAUGCAUAUAUUUUAUAAAAUAAAUCCACACAAAAUAUUUAGC
rnacentral:lncRNA from 1 species